rnacentral:rRNA from 1 species
AGUGAACGCUGGCGGUAGGCCUAACACAUGCAAGUCGAACGGCAGCACAGUAAGAGCUUGCUCUUACGGGUGGCGAGUGGCGGACGGGUGAGGAAUACAUCGGAAUCUACUUUUUCGUGGGGGAUAACGUAGGGAAACUUACGCUAAUACCGCAUACGACCUACGGGUGAAAGCAGGGGAUCUUCGGACCUUGCGCGAUUGAAUGAGCCGAUGUCGGAUUAGCUAGUUGGCGGGGUAAAGGCCCACCAAGGCGACGAUCCAUAGCUGGUCUGAGAGGAUGAUCAUCCACACUGGAACUGAGACACGGUCCAGACUCCUACGGGAGGCAGCAGUGGGGAAUAUUGUACAAUGGGCGCAAGCCUGAUCCAGCCAUACCGCGUGGGUGAAGAAGGCCUUCGGGUUGUAAAGCCCUUUUGUUGGGAAAGAAAAGCAGCAGGUUAAUACCCCGCUGUUCUGACGGUACCCAAAGAAUAAGCACCGGCUAACUUCGUG